GGCGCCUCAAGACUUCACGCUCAAGUGGGGGCUGUACAGGGCGAGCAGGGUGCCAGCCGGCUUCAACCCGCUGUCCUGGUAGCUGAGGUGGCCGGGGGCUCUCAGCCGCAUCUCUCCCUCUGUCUUGCGGCGCUCUCUUUCGUGGCUGCUGGUUCCGAGUAAUUUGGCUAUAAUGGGCUGUUGGCAGCGGAGCACAGUUUAAAUCUCAGGACACUGGUCCGUUGCACAGGAACUAUUCUUUGUUGUCACUGCAGAGUGGUUCAUGUAUUUAUGGACCAGACCAUGGGAUGAACUUUUAUUUUUAAAAAGACAUUGUCAGUAGUCCUGAUCCAGUUUUCAAGCGGCGUUGACGAGUAUGCUGUACCUGUUUUUCGUCAUUCUGAAAGUUUAUUCAAGCACAGUUUCUACUUGAAAAUUCAAAUACUAGAGAAUAUUAGGAAGUGGCCUAAUGACAUACUCUAUUGAAGGACUACAGAUUCCACAGAGACUGCAUUUGAAUCUCAGUUACUCUCCAAUUAAAGUGGUUUUGAUUAACCUAAUUUUGAAGAAUUUUGUAUAAGCAACACCAAAAGAUGGAAGAAAAAAUUGGUGAUGCAAAGACUUUCUGGAUGGAGCUACAAGAUGAUGGUAAAGUUGACUUUAUGUUUGAGAAAGCACAAGAUGUCCUACAUUCACUGAAACAGAAGAUAAAAGAUGGGUCUGCCACAAAUGGAGACUAUGUCCAAGCAAUGGUUCUGGUAAACGAAGCAACUCUGAGUAACAGUCAGACACUGG
rnacentral:lncRNA from 1 species